GAUUUCUGGCUUGAAACAUUUAGCCGGCCACGGUUUCGUGUGUUAGUGUUAGAUGUUCUGGCCAUCCUUCCAAUCGCUAUUUGCUUCUCUUCAUUGAUUAGUAAGUAGUAUUGGAUCUUUUACUUUGAAAAAAUUAGAGUGUUUCAAGCAGGCUGUUGCUAUGAAUACAUUAGCAUGGAAUAAUAAUUUAGGACUUCGGUUCUAUUUUGUUGGUUUCUAGGACUGAAGUAAUGAUUGAUAGGGACAGUUGGGGGUGCUAGUAUUCAGCGGCCAGAGGUGAAAUUCUCGGAUUCGCUGAAGACUAACUUAUGCGAAAGCAUU
rnacentral:rRNA from 1 species